GACGAACGCUGGCGGCGUGCCUAAUACAUGCAAGUCGAACGCAGUGGGGACGGGUGAGUAAAACGUGGGUAACCUCCCAUCAGAGGGGAUAACACUUGGAAACAGGUGCUAAACCGAUACUGAUGGAUGAACCCGCGGUGCAUGAGGUAGUUGGUGAGGUAACGGCUCACCAAGGCCACGAUGCAUAGCCGCCCUGGAAGGGUGAUCGGCCACACGGGGAUGGAGACACGGCCCAGACGCCUACGGGAGGCAGCAGUAGGGAAUCUUCUGCAAUGGACGAAAGUCUGACCGAGCAACGCCGCGUGAGUGAAGAAGGUGUUCGGAUCGUAAAACUCUGUUGUUAGAGAAGCGGUAUCUAACCAGAAAGCCACGGCUAACUACGUGCCAGCAGCCGCGGUAAUAC
rnacentral:rRNA from 1 species